rnacentral:lncRNA from 1 species
UUCCUGGCAGUGGCCCCCAGCACCGGGCGUUCAUCCUCGGCGCUUACCACUGCAUCGCCCACCUUCUCCAUCCUCGGAAGCUGGUCCUCCCAGCCGUUUCUAGAGUGUUCGAUGAAACGCUGCACCGAGACACGAAUUUUGACACAUCCGCUCACCCGCUCCGCUCUAGCGAGGACCAGUGAUAGUCUCCUGCUGGAAACGCCUUCUCUGCAACGCGACCAUGGCUCCAAUAUGCUCGGCGGCCGUGGCAUUUCUACAAUAGCGUUGCUCCCCAAAAUCCCCCCCUCCCGCUCUCUACGACGAUAAGUGUCCACGGUUUUUUACCAAACAAAAAAGGGUUGAGAGUUUUAAGAGGUUUCAGGAUUGAACAUAAUCGUUCCCACGGAGGGCUUAAUAAGAUAACAAGAAGGUCACGGUGGUUUCAUCUUGAAUGUAGAAUAUGUUUUAUAUCAGUGUUAUGGAGCCCUUUUCUUUUCCCCUUCUGAAACAGGUUGGACGAAGACCGAAACCAUCGACUCACUCAUGAGGAAGGCUGGUUAUAAUGGAGUCAUAACCGAGUCCCUUCGCAAUCGACUCCAUGUCACGCGCUAUAUGAGCACCCUGUACACCAUGCACUACAGUGACUAUGCCACCCAUGUCAAGAUGAUCAGGGGAGCUGCCCCUAUAAUUAAUGGGGCUAGGCUUCACUACUGAUUUAUUCAGAGCAGCUUUAUUGUUAAAGCUGCAAAGGUACAUUUAGACUUAUUUAAAGGCUGUUGGGUGAGGAUUUGCUUCCAAUUCCAUCCCUGCUCAUUCAUCUGCUCUCAUUUUUUGUCAAAAAGAAAAAAGAAAAAGAAAAGGAAAACCAACAGGUUGGCCAAUAAUUAUGACAUUGUUGAACGGCUAAGCUGGAUCAUGUACGAUUUAUCUGUACGUCCUAAAUGUUGUGGAUUCUGGUCAAUAUGAUAUGCAUUCCUUUAUAUGUGGUCUUGAGCAAAUUUUACCUCGCAUCUACCUUGGAAAGGGUGAAUAAUAAAAUUCAGAACUUUGCAAAUGCAUGGUGGUCAGCUCGCAGAUGGAGCUCAGAUUGGAGCAGGUAGUUGCAGACGGUGCUCAUUGUAAUCCUCUUGAAAGCAUUUUGCGUCAGUAUAACAAUGGCAAAGGCGAAAAGAAGAGAAAAACAAAAAAAAAAUCUUAAUUUGGAUCUAUUUUGGCAGGAUCUGACUUGCAGUCAAUUGCUAGCUGGUAUUUGUUGCUGGACUUGUGUACGUUAAUUGUAGCAUCUAGCCUGAAGCUGAUGCCGAAAUCUGAAAUAAGCUCCAUUCUGCACCCUGGAAGGCAUUGUGAUGAUCAUGUAACCAAAUUUGAGCAUAUUAUAUUAUAAAACAUAGUGCUUUCUUAUGAGCUAAUGCAUGGUAGGGCACAGACACGAACUCUUUAUAAUUAGUAAAUUGAAGGCUUUCUUGUUGCUUCGCACUGUAUGCUGCAAAAUAGAUAACUAUAUUCUAUGCAUAAUUCGAGGCUAAAAUUAUAAUUAUUGUAAUAUUAUCAGGACAAAAAAAAACAGGAAUGAGGGAAAAGAGACACCCGACAACUUGAAGAGGGCAAGAUUGUUAAUUUCGUAAAAUUUAAUUAUAUACUAUAUAAGGGCAAAGGCAAUGGACUCCUGGGGUCUUGUUGCAUCAGAAUUUGAGUUUAUUCUUGCGAAAGAUUGCUGUCUCCUGCACCUUUCCUUUUUUGGUCAAAUUUUGUAUUUGCAAAAAUAAGCAGGCAUAUUUAUAUAGCAAUUUUUCUUAGUCCUAUUUCGGUUGCCACGCGAAUAAUUUUGUCAAGAAUUGAAAUUUUGAAGGUCGGAAACCUUCAAACUUUUUGAAAACCGCGUGAAAUUUGCCGCUGCCCGAACCGUACCCCGCCUCUCAUUCUUGACCGUUACACCCUAUAGUUGCUGUUCCCCUUCGCGCUCUGCUGUUAGGGUUUCUCUCUCUNNNNNNNNNNNNNNNNNNNNNNNNNNNNNNNNNNNNNNNNNNNCUCCCCUCCCCACCGGCUCCUAUACGAGCUCCUCCGCUUGGCGUCUUGGUUCUUGGUUUGUUUUUCUCCCAAUCUUGAAAGUGCUAGGGUUUUGAAAUCUCUGUUUAAACUGGAUUCUCUCUCAUUCCAUACCAAUCCUAUUAAAAGCCCUCAGAUUCUUCACUGAAUGAGUUGAUUUGAACGUGUUAUUUGUUGAUAAAAACCCUUAUUUAGCUCCAGUAUCUGGUAGCUAUAAUAAACAUUUUUCAGUUAGAAGUAUUUCCUGGGUAAUGCUAAUCAUUGGUUGGGUUUCCCAGAUCAUAGAAAGUUAGGAUUUUGUUCUAUCUUUUUGGUUCUUUACAUUCUAAAGCAUGGCUUAUGGCGAGGAGGGAGCUGUGAUUACGAGCAGUAGUGCUAUUGCGACCGCUCCAGUCUCGUCAGGCCUCGGCAGAAGGAUCGAUCAAGCAUCAUGGAUGAUGGAGGAUGAUUACCAUCUUUGGAAUGGGGAAUCCUCCUCGUAUACUGUGUCCAAUGCCAUCCAGCCCCAAUCCCGGGGCUGGAGCGAGCUACCUCCGAACAAGAAAUCACGGAACUCCAAUGGGGAUUCUCAGGGAGAUUGGUCCGGUAGGUCCAAAGACAUAGGAAAGAUGUUCUUCAAGGCAAAACUAUGCUGCAGGUUCCGGGCUGGGACUUGGCUGUAUGUAAAAAAUUGUCACUUCGCUUAUGGGAUUGAGGAGCUCCGCAAGCCACCUCCCAACUGGGAGGAGAUUGUGGUAGCUAGGGAUGAUUGCUUGGAGCCUUGGAAGGAAGAUCAAAUACCCCCAUUGGGUUAUCGGUAUGGAGGCUCAGAGGUCUUACAGAAGAAGGGAUUGUCAGAAGUUCUACACUGUUGAGGGGUGCCCAUAUGGUGAUAAAUGCAUUUUUAUUCAUGAUGAGCAACUGAAGGCUCUGUCAAGUGUGGUAAUUAGUUUGUCGCCGAUGGUUGGGAGCGGUGGAUAUGGGGGUGGAGCGAAUGGGUCAAACUGGAAACCUUCAAAUUGGAAGACGAGGAUAUGCAACAAAUGGGAGAUGGUGGAGUAUUGCCCAUUUGGUAGCGUCAUUUUGCUCAUGGCAUAGAAGGAAUGAUCCGACAGUCAUAUUGUUCUUGUUUCCACAUUUCAUGCUAUAACCAUCCCCUGCAUAGCAUGUUUUAUAUGUGUCAUGGGCUUGCAAAACCCCCAAUGAUAAUGAAAAGAAAAGAAGAAAGGAGCCAUGAUAAUGUUAUUUCGCGAUAGGAUAAAACAUAAUCUGAUGCCUGGCCCUAAGGUAUUGGUUUGCAUGGUGAUGUGCCGCUGUUGAUUAAUUAUUUGAAGGGCUUGGAACAGACAAUUUACCACUAGGAUUUUGCGAACAUUCAUCUUAAAUACCUUCCUUUGUUGAUGUAUUGUAUUGAACUGCUUAAUAUAUGGAUACGUAUUUACUUUCUAGUCUGCAUACUGAGCCUGUGCUGAUACUUUCGUCAUCAUACUUAUGCAUUAGCGAUGUUUUUUAAGUUAUGCCUUCUGAUUGAUGUGCAUGUCCUGUAUGUGAGCAGUAUUUUGCAUCUUUGAGUUUAUUAGCUCCAAUUCAUAACAUAGAAUGAUUCAUGCAGUUUCAUUGCUUAGUUUUCAAGGCUUAUUAAAAUAUAAUGAGCAUUUGUAGCAACAAAGUAACAGUUGGGCUUUCAAAAGGCCUAAGUAUGAAGACAUGGGUUGUUCCCCAAAUAAUCUGAUUUGAUGAGCAAGGACACCAUAAAGAUGUAAAAUGGUAGCCUUACUGCAUGUUGUUUUGCAGUCAUCAAGAGCUCCACGUACAUCACUGCAUGGUAAUUUGCAGUGCAUUUUGUACAUUUUAUGAAUAUAUAAAUAUUUGGCUGCAGAAUUUCCCAAGUAUGGUGGGUCCUUGUGGAAAAGGAUAGUAGAGAUUGUUUAUGCAAUUGCCUCUGCAGCCAGAGCAAGCUGGGGUAUUAUCAAAGAUUCCAAUAGAUACUGUUGUUUCACCUCCUCGUGCAGAUAUGUUGCUUUUGGGGGUUCCUGCACAGAGGUCAUUUGGUUUUUUUCAGAGUCAGGGGCAGAGGCUAAUUCAGAACUUGAAACAACUGGACAAGAUAAGUAUGUGAGGCUAAUUCAGAGUCGGGCCGACAACAUUCAGUAGAUCUCCAAUUUUGAUAACCAUACUUUGCCUGAGUUUAAGGAAUAAAUAUCCAGUUAUGCCCUUUGGAAUUUUCAUUUCCCAACCCCCUUUUCUAUUCCUGGUAACUGUGAGUUUGUCUGGUGCGGUCACUGAAGCAAUAGACAGGAAGUCCUUUCAUCUACAGUGAUGCUUUUCAUUGUCGUUAAAAAAUCUGAAGACAGUAAACUUAAGAAGUGGUCAAUCAUGCUUAUCUGGCUUGUGGCUCAGCUGAAACAGUCGCAGCAUGACAGCCCCAAGAUUAUGGGUUUUUUGUGCUUCCAUAUCCACAAAAGGGAAGUCUUUUGAGGCUGCUUUCUGCUUCACGGUCAUACUCUUUCAGAUUCAUUUGGACAGAACAGUGGUUCACCAGUACCAUUGGUUGAUGGCUGUUGAUUGUCAUGGAUUUACUCCCUGGUAAUGACUAACAUGCUGAAGAAAAAGUACAUUAGGUAUUGUCUGGUAUUGCUCGGUUUAUUUUAUACUCACUGUUUCAUUUUGCUGACUGAUUGAAAAAGGCUUGAUCAUAUCCAACGUACAAACUACGAAAGGUUUGUGGGCUGUUUUGCUAUCUUUAAUGGGAUGAGGGAAGAUUAUGAGUUGCUAUAUACCUCUCAUAUCUAGCCUUAAGCAGUUUGCUGCAUUAUGUAUAUCUUUUUUGUUUUCCUUGUGUCCUUACUUCUGACAAUAUGUAAGCUAUUUGAUGCAUCGUCCAGAAGUUCCACAUGUUUCUGUGAUUUAUAGCUUUUCCAUUUUCUUUUCCUUAUUUUCAUUAGUAGUCGAUCUUUUUUCAGCUAUCUAUUUUUUACCUUGAUUGGAAUAGAAUAAGGAUACUUUAUGUACUAGUGCUAUAAUUUUUGAUGCAUACUAACAUUAUUUCCUUGAUUUUGACUGUAACUAACAGCUAGAUUCUUGCAAACUAAGCUAAAUCCUUUUUUUCCUCUUUAAUUAGGAAUGUCAUAAAACUAAUAUAGACAGUUACAGUAACUCGAUUGCAUUAUUUUCCUAACUUGGUUUUAUAUUCCCGUUCACAUUUACAAGCUGUUAAUCGAAUCGCCUCAUCUUGCAGAUACCCAGUGGAUUUUCUUGUUGCAGAAAAAAUAAUACUCUCGCAGUUGACUCUUCAUUGACUCCUCAUGAGCAAUUGAAACCAGACCUGCUAUUUCUCAAAUGGAAAUUUUACAAGCUUUUAGUAACUUAUGUUUUUCCUUAAUUGUGUUCUAAAAUGUGAUUGGAUUUGUAAGGAGGGCAUCAACUUGUUGCAAGAGUUAAAAUAUUGCUCAAAAGGAUCCAUUUUCUUUUGCACCAACUUAUUGUGAUUUGCAGUUAUCAAACAAGCAGCUGGAGGGGCAGGGAACUGACCACCACACCAUAAGAUAUUCGUUUAGUUUAGUUUCCCAGAUUUGCUUUCCUGUCCCCCUUUUGUUUUAACCACUUUAUAGGUCAUUUCGUUCAGAUUUUUUGUGUCAGUAAAAUGUUGUGGAUCUACAAAUUUCUUUACUAAGCUAAAUUUCACUGUGCAGGGUUGAUAAAUUUCAUUGUUUUAGCUGUCAUGAAAUCUGCAUAACCCAGUUAUCUAGAAUUUUAGCUCUGCAGAACCUGUUACAUUAUGGAAGCAAUGAUAGAUUUAUUUUGAGCAUUUUCAUGGUAUGGUGGACUAGAACAUCUGUCGUGACCCAUCGAAUAUUCCUACAUCUGAGCAAAACCUUGUAUGAAGUAACUGGGAUAAUUUCUUAUGCUUUGAUUGUUGUACUUCUAGCGUCCGGUGUGAUGAUACUCCUUGUUCUCAGGGAAAAAAACAAAAGUGAUGAUGUUCCUAUUUCUUGGCUUACAUUAAUGAAGAAGUGAUAGUUUCUAAUUUAGUACCUAGUGUAGCUAAACCCUGUUCUCUCUGUAACCUCUGCUGCAUGUUUCUGGAUAUGAUGCGUGUCAGCGAACAAAGUGAGAAGAAAGAACUUAAAGGGAUUGCCUUGAGUCUUCCUGUGCCUCUUUACUUUUCUUUCUUCCCUUGUUUUCCUUCCAAUCCUGUGCAUUGUUAAUUGAAGUUGUGAUAUGGAACUCAGAGAAUCACAUAUCAAUAGCAUAAAUCAACUUGAAGUGUUCAAGGAAUUCUUCUAAAGAUGGGUGCUCUUUUUCGUUAAAUCAUUCUACAUCUCUCCUUUGCAGCAAUUUUCAGAUGAAGUCCGGUGAUGCAACCAAAUAUUGCAGGAACGUUAAGAUGGCGUUGCAUCGCGUAGAUGCAAACAUCUCCACCUGGGUUCACGUCGAACACUAUUUACUUUUUUCAAAAGAGCAGCACAACAAUGCUUUUCUGUUUACCACUUUAUUUUCAUUUUCUUUCAAGCUUGCCGCAGGCGUAACUGCUUUAGCUAAUUUUGGUCGGAGCACGUGUUGUUCGCAAUUUUCUCGAAAAUUGAGGAUAGCUUGGGUUGGUCUAUGUCAUAUUUAAUAGAUACUAUAGGCCAAUACAAUCCUGCUCGAAAGUAACUCGGCUACGAUAAUCGGCUGGAUUUAAAGAUGCACUGGGGAUUCCUCUAGUUGUUUAUAGAGACACCAAUAGAGUUAUAGAUUGGAUGAUUUCAUUUGUGCAAAUUAUUCUAAAAAAGUUUUUUGGACUAGUGAGAGAGCUGUUUAGAGCAUUUCCAGGACUUGUUAAUAACUUUUUUUAAUGUAUUUACAUUAGACUUGUAGAGUCAUCCAUUGCGGCAAAAAAAAAAAAAUACUAGGUAUUAUCGGUUUGCUUGGCAUCACAUGCAAUUUCAUGAUAAAUGGACAGAAAAAUAAAAAGAAAAAAAAUUGUAUUGGAGCUCUCGAGUUCAUCGGAUGAUUUAAAGCCGAUGAUCCUAAAAUCGUGGCGGUACAUUGAGCCUUACAUGUAUAUCUCUCGCUGAAGUCUGAGCGACCCUUGAUCAUCCGCUGCCGCUGGCGAUCUACUACUUUCUCUUUGGGCCGAGCCGAUUGGGGCCUAUCGGCAGUCGAGUCCAAGACUUCCAAUCCGACCGCAGAAGGCAUAUAUCCAGGCCCAGAGCACCGCGGCGUAUCGAGGGGAGACGGCAGGGAGAAAGGGUUGUCGGGGAUGGAGAGGGCGGAAGAAGGGGGAGCAGCGAAGAAGGAGGAGGAGGAAGCCGCUGCAGAGAAGGUGUGCAGGCGGUGCAAGGUGACGUUCGACACCUCCAGUAACACGCGAUCCUCUUGCAGGUUUCAUCCUUCCUUCUUCGUCUGCCGAAGGCACGACGACCAAAAGNNNNNNNNNNNNNNNNNNNNNNNNNNNNNNNNNNNNCGCCACCAUUUCUGAAUCGAUGAGAUUCCUCUAGUUGUUUAUUCUUGCUUAUUCCUCCAUGGAUUUCUAUCCUAUUAUAAGCGAACAGCUCUUUCAAUUUGAGUCGGUACAACGCUUGCCCUUGUUAUUUUGUUAGUACAUAGGUUCUGUUUUUACUGUUUGUGGACAAUUUUUCUUUUUUAAAAAAAAUUGUUGGAUUUUAGCUGGAUGCCUUGCCUUGGUGCUCGCGACCAUGAUGUCUAAGCAAAUUCUUGCUUCGAUGCCUUAUUUUUUUGGAUUGCCUUCGAAACCCUGAAUCGCACAUCUGUUUCCUAAGACGGUUGAUCAGAAUUCUUUGAGCACAAAUUUUACACCUUUGCCUCUAUAGUUACAUUUUAUGGUGGAACAGCAGCUGGGAUCCUUCUUAUGCUUUGAGAUCGAUGUUGCCGCCAUCUUAUUAUUUGAUUGCAGUUGUGUUUAAGUUUUUUAAAGGUCUCUACUGGAGUAUUUUGGCUGAAUAUAGGAAUUUUUGAAGUUUUCAGUAUUACUAUAUGCGAGAGAUAUUAUUAUUCUGGUUUUCUCGAUAUGUAAUCUAUGAUAGCUGGCAGCCAUGACCAGCAGUGUGCCGGGCUGCAUGGUAUUUAAGAGCUAAGUGGGGAAGGAUCAAACUAAAUGAAGGAUUUAGCAGCUUAAGAACCUCUAGAAGACAUUUCUUUUGUGAUGUUUUAUGUUAACAUUUUGAGUAGGAUUAUUUUAUUCAAGAAUGUCAUGACUCAGAUGCACUUUCUCUCUAGUCCUAGUGUCUUGUAGUUUAGACACUCCAUACAGAUUUCAAGUACUUGUUAUGCAUGGGCCAUCACAUUUUAGAUGAAAAUGGCUGCACAAAGAUUCAGUCCAUUGGAUCCAAGAUGGAGUCCAGUUCAUCUGGUCUUGAGAAGAGAGGAGAGCUUCAUCAAAAAGCAGUCUCUUUAUGUCUGCUUUGAUUGUUCAAAGCAGUAAUUGUAAAUGGAAACUUACUCUGACGCAUAAUAGUUUUUGAUUAGCCCCAUCCAUCACAAGACAGACAUCCAAAAAAAAACACAUGAAUGGAACGAAGUCAAAUAUGCCUAAUAAACCUAUGGUAAUUAUAGCAUACAUCAAGGAACCUUGUGAAAAAAAGUUUUCUUGCUGUCGCACCAAGUGUGACUGGUAAUAUUCAAGUGAAACCAAAUACAAGAAAUUUUCUUUUAGCCACUUUGAGCUUCUGAGACUCACAGAAAAGGGGAAAAGUAGAAAAGAAAAGAAAGAAAAGAAGAAAGAAAGAUGUUGCAUCAAUUUUUAGGUUAAAAGAAAUGGUUUUCUGAAAAACAGGAAGACAACAGUUUUUUGUAAAACUCAUUUUUAGGUUAUAUAACCUGGCAGUUUUUUACAACAUCAAUUUAUGAAAAAUAACUGAAUAGGCAUUUUUGUAAAGCUCAAUCAUUUUAUAUUCUGUAUAAACCUAUUUUGGUAAAAUUGGACAACUAAACAACCUCCAAGUGUUAUAGUACAAACCCUUUUCUUGACUGAUUCAUUGACUAUUUACAGAUCAUCUUGAUUCAUUGAAUGUAGUGUUGCUUUGUAAUUCUUCAUGCACGUGGCAACAAGUUGUUUUCCCAGCUUAACUUAAUCUUAAAGCCCCACUAUCUAGGUUAGUCUCACACUUAGCUCUUAUGAUAUUUGCUAGGCUGAAGCUUUUUAAGAUUUAAAUUGGCUCAAACAAUUGAUACCCAGCCUACAUGACAAUAUUAUUGGUCCAUAGUUUUGCUCAUGGCCUAGUAUUACUAUAAUACUAAGAAAAAAUCUGGCAUAAUUGCACAUGAAAGUAAAAUAACUAAAUUAACUCCUAUGCCAAGUAAAACCCAUGUGUUACUAAGAUCUUUAGGUCUUCAGCUCCUGCAUACACACAUAUUCAGAGAGGAACAGGACCUAGGCUGCUAAGAAAAUGGGAGAAAUAUUGUCAAAUUUUGAGCUACACAGUUAAGAUAGUCGAUUAUGACUAAAUCAGACCUAAGUUAUCAUAUUGACUACUACUCUCCCCUUUCCAGUUUCCGUCUCCAUCUCUUCCUCUUCAUUAAUCUCCACCACCAAUUGAGUACUAUUCUCCUUUGCCUCCAUCUCCUCCCUCAUCUUCCUCCAAUAACCACGGCCACUAGAGGGCCACCCCCCAUGACUUCCCCCCCUCCCCUUCCCCCUUGCUCCCCCACUUGGGCUUGAAGUCUAGAGGAGUUCUUUUGCCGAGGAGAGCGAACUGAGGGAGGGAAUGGAGGGCAAAGACCUAGAGGGUGGUGGAAUGGGUGGUAGGGAAGGUGUAGAGGGUGAAGAGGAGGGCAUUGAUGGUCUCAAGGCAAGGCCAUGUGUUGGCUGUGGUAGGUUUUGGUGGAGUAAAUAAGAGGCCAUACUUGGCAGGAAGGAGAGUGUUGUACAAUUGACAAGAGGAUAAGUGGAGAGUGUGGAGGAGUGUAUUUUUGGCUAGGAUACGCACCAGGUCCUGACCGAUGCAGUGAGAGAGGGUUGAUAAAAAGAUGACAAGUGGAUCACUUGCAUUCGGCGAGGGACAUGGGACAGGGAAAAACUUAACAUCACAACAGUAGAAUAUCAGAUUUGAAAAUUUUCCCUGAAUUUUUUAUAAUCUGGCAUAUUUUGACUCUCUUUCUCUCUUGAGGUUGAGAAAAAGAUGAUAAGUGGAUCACUUGCAUUGGGUGGGGGACAUGGGAGAGGAAAAACUUAACAAGAUAACAAUAGAAUAUCAGAUUUGAAUAUUUUCCCCCAAAUAUUUUAUAAUCUAGCAUAUUUUGACUCUCUCUCUCUCUCUCUUUUAGAUAGAGAGAGUGAGAGAGAAGCCAAAGAAUAUAUACAUACAUACAUAUAUUGCUUGACUUGAAAGAUAGAUUCUCCUGCAGGAAAUAUGUUGCUUAACUCGAAUAAAAUUUGUAGAUGUAGCAAACUUGUUUUUCAUUUCUCUCAGCCUCAAUAUGUUCUUCUAGGACAGCAUGUGAUGCAGCAUCCAUAUCAAUAGUUAACUUUUUGCAUCUUAGGAAAUAUAGAAAUCUAGAUUAUGGUGGCCAGGGAAGUCUAAAUGAAGAGUGACCUUGGACAACCAACAUUAGAAAAGGACUUGCACCCAUUAAGAUUAUAAGAAGUUUGUUUUAGGUCAAGCAAACUAUCACAAAAUUAGGUAAGUCAUAUGUUAGUUACAUGGAUAACUAGAGGAGCCCCACCUAUUUUAUAUAGAAAUAUUGUCCCACCUUGUACUUGAUUAAAAUUAUGUUCUCAUCAUCCAGGGGGAAUAUUUCUAUUCAUUGUCUUGCUAUUAGGGUAAAAGGCUCAUCUGUAGCUUCAAAAGAUGCCAUGUUGAAUGACAUCAGUUUAUGUGGAUUUCAAGAAUAAAGAUGCUACAGACAUUAUAUGGGACAAAAUACCUCACGCUAUUUGUUUAUUUUUUUUGACGAAUUGUUUACCUUCUGAGGAGAUAUUGAAAGGUAGCUUUCUGACUGAGGAUGCCAAGAGAUCUUGAAGGUUAUCUAGCUAACUGAGGAUGUUAAGAAAGAUGCAACUCGGGGUGUUAUAUGAUUAUUUUAUAUGUUAUAUGUUGCAGAGCAAGCAGAGUGGGAAACUUUCUCCAUUUGCUGCCAGCACCAUUUGUUGUUUUAAGACCAUGUAGACUGUUUUUAUCAAAUGAAACUAUUAGACAUACGCAUGCUUAAUUCCUUGUUUCGAAUUUUGAAUAGGAGAGUAACUGUUACUAUGUUGACAAUCUCAUAGGUUCAUUCCCCUUUUUCUUUCCAUCUAUAACAUAGACCUUAGCAGGAACCAUCAGAAGUUCCCCUUUUUCUUUCCAUCUAUAACAUAGACCUUAGCAGAAACCUUCAGAAGUUCUAUUAGAGAAAGUAAUCCUGGCUAUUUUUUUUUUUCCUGUAUCUUGAAUAACAUAUUCACAUUACAUUACAGCAGAUCAAGAAGUGGGUGCAAGCAUUACUUUUUGAUCGCUCCAUGAUUAUUUUGUACAAGAUCGCGUAAAAAAAAUCAUUGCUAUCUUUAUGUGAUGUAUUUUGAACGUGUGAUAGGUUUUUCCUGGAAUAUAUGAAAAGGAUAUUAAAGACAUUAAACAUUAUUAUCAUGGCUAGUUCACAUCCUAUGUAUCUCUAUUAUUCCUUGCAUCUUGCUUAUGUACUAUCAGAAAUGUUGUCAAGAAGUGCAUCUCUCUCAUUUCUUGUACCUUUUAUCAGUUCAAUGUGAAUCUAGUAUAAACACAUGAAUGAGGGUGGUCAUGUUGAUGAUAAGAGGUUUAUGGUUGUAGAGGGCCAAUGGCAUGUAGUGGAUUAAAGAAAACUACCUUGCUAGCUGCCUCCUCUGAAUGGUUUUAGCUUUAACCUGCAAAGUUAAAUUAAUUUAACUCUGGUUUUACACUGCUUAAAUGUGGCAAGACAAUAAAAAAGCACUCUUUCCCCAUGAUUUGGUAAGUUAAAAAGGAAAUAUGAUAGAUGCAUCUUCUUUCAUUGUUCGCCUCCUUGUAGAUGUAGAAACUAGCAUUGGAAGAAUUUGAUCCUGUUUAUUUUUUUCAAUAUUAGCUACUCUUCCUCUUUUACAGGAUGAUAUGUAACAGCUCUAUUUUUUGUUACAAGUCACUCUAGAUUAUCUAAUUAACAUUCUUAAUUCUUAGCGCCUUAAUUUCAUACGUGGAACUUUAUUCCUAGUAGUAUUUGUAUUUUGCCUGAGCAUGAACCUAGUUUUUUCUGUUAAGAAGGUAGUUCGUCUGUAUCAUAUGUAGUUAUCUCUAUUAUUAUAUGGCAUCUUGCCUUUGUACUUUGUCGGUUGACCAUGUUGCAAUAUCUUUCGCAAAUUAUUGUGUUUUUUAGUAUUAACACAUUGCUUCACAUCCUAUAGAAAAGUCAAACUGUCAUCAUCUGUGAAUUCUCAUGAUGAUAAUCAGAUCAAAGGGAAAAACAGUUUUCAAUAAAUUGUUGAGGUUAAUUGAUUUUUGUUCUUUUUCUCCGAGUUUUUGUUGCAGGUAUUAUCAACUUGGUCCUGAUGAUCCACCCUAUGCUGCCAAAUUCUAUGAUUGCUGUGGAGCAGAGGACCCAGAUGCAUUGGGAUGUGCUACUGAUUUCCAUAUUUCCUAUGAUGAUGAUUGAUCUCUCUCUUUAACUUUUCAAUGCAGAAUUGUCAUAUCCACCUUGCCUAUGAUCUAGUCUGCCCUGUAUUAUCAACCAACCUUUCAAUGGUCUCAAAUUCCUGAUGUUCUUUCAUGUUACUUGGUGCCAAGAUAACUUUACAUAUUUGCAAAUGAUAUGAUGAUUGUACUAAGCUGUUCUUGAACAACAUUGUAACAAGUGAAAACUCUUAACAUCUUGGUCAUGAAACAUGAUAGGUUCCUGUUAGGAUUUGAUUGGACUCAACAACGGAUUUUUUUCUCAUUCUAAUUCAGCGAGGCAUCAAAAGCAGGUGACAUAAUAAGAGUCUCAAAUAUAAUCAUUUAAAUUAUUUUCUUACGGGUUUUAUAAAUAUACAAUAGAAGAAGGCACUAACAAGUAUACGAAAUUAAGAAUAUGAAGAGUUAGCUUCAUUCUUCUUUCACGUAGGAGGAGCGAUCUUUGACAGUCUCUCCUAAUUCUUGGAAUUCUUCAUGCUUCUUGGAGACGUGGCAAUGCCCAUCGAUUCCCCUCCAGUGCUGACAGGGGGCAGAUGUUUCACAUACAUAACAGAAGCACUGCAUCAAAUGAAACAGCUAUUAACACUUAGUAGCUAAAGGAUAAGCAGUGCAAGGUAUAAUUCAAGGACCUCUGGUGAUCCAAGGUUGCCUCUGAAUCUCAUGAAAGACUGGAUUUAUCACUCAAGCAACCUACAAGGCAAAUCUUGCACUAUAAUCUCUUGUCAACCAUACGGCUUUUUCGCUCUGGUAGCCUGCAAGGCUACUUUGUAUCAAUAAAUCUGUACAGAGAGGUAUUAGGAGGAAGCAAUUAGAUGAUCGGUAGAACUCCUAUUACGCUCGCUGAAGAGGGCAGACAGCAAUCACCAUCUUCUUUUAUUUCCCUUCCUCUAAUGGAUUUUCCAGCAUCCAAUCAAAAAUAGCUGUUAUUGGACAGUGAUUUUUUUCCCUUUUUGUUUUUGAAUUUUAUUUUGGUGACUUUUUUCUUGUGGAAAGAUGAGCCACCUGUUCAUAUCUAUUCUAAGGUACGAUCCAAGAAAAUUGUCUUCAAAUAUCCCGAGCUUCAAUUUUUAUAUUACUUCGUCAGUUCUCAAUUUUGAUAUCCAAAUAUAAUGUUUUUUAAACUCAUCUGAGCACAAAUUUAAGAGAAUAGAUAUCAGAUUGGUUCAUUUAUAUUUGAUCUUUCUAAACAACUAAAAGAGAGGAAAAAGGGAAAAAGGACAAGGAAUCGUGAUUUCGGAGAUCGGACAUACCUUGUUGCAGUAGCUCUCAUGGGAGGUGCUGUGGAAGGGGAAGUUUCCACAGAGAUGCCUCGGAUGUGGGAAAUCCUUCAGUGCAACCUAUUUAAUCACAAGACCCAAAUCCUUUCAUAUAUCUUAUGCCUUGCCUAUUAGAUCAUAUAAAUCUCCGCUGGAUCACAAUUCGUCAAUUAAAACACCGAGAUGAACUGAAUUAUUGCGUACAUAAUUAAUUAAUUAUGAGGGCAGAAACAGGGAGCACUCACCGGUCCCUUCUCCGCAACGAUAACUAUGUCAUCGGAAUCAUUGAUGGUUAGCUUGCGGGCAAAAUCGAUGGGAUCGAUCUCAUAGCAAUCGUCCUCCUCAUCAGCGCCUUCUUCGGCUGAUGCUAUCUUUACAAUUUUCUCCUUGUUAUCCCCCUCUUCUUCCAUUGCACCUCCCCUGCUGUCGUUAGUGUAGAAUAGAGAAAGACGAAAUGAUGGGUUAAGCCAUUAAUUGAUUUGAAGAAAAGUUUCAAUUGUAAGCCGAAAAAAAAGUUUUAAUUUUAAAAAAAAUAUUUUUGCCCCCACUACUCUUCCUGGCUAACUUAGACCGCUUCAAUUUAAAAAAAUCUCAAAUCUGUCCACCUUGCUUCUACGCUCCGAAAUCUGAACCAUCUCUUUCCGUCCAUUUCUCCGCUAUUGAGGAGAUGGUGACAUGCUCCAGGGUGAUUGUAACUGAUGGUUGCUAGAUCUUCGAUACCUCAAUAGCAGGGGCGGAAUUGCGUACAGCUUGGGCCGACGUGUGCUAUGCUUGGUGCGAGCUGCAAGCCAGUGCUAUUGUGCUCGAGGAUGAUCUAGCUAUAGUCAUUGGUUAGAUUCAACAUAAAAUAGGAAGGGUGGAUGAGUACCAUCCGCUGCUCAGGUAUAUUCAAACUAUGAUCAGUAGUGAGAUGGACAGGCAAAGCAUGUGUAUCGAGUGGCCAAUGGAUAAGCAGAUUGGAUAGUCUUGUAUGUAACUAACCAUUCUGGAGAGACCCUUUGGCUAGAGGAGAGGAGAUUACUCAGUGCACUCUAAAACUUGUUAUCUUUUAACUUUUUUAGAUGUAUUUGUAUCUAUUAUGUAUGAUUCAUCCGUUCUAACAAAAAAAAGAAAAAGAAAAGAGAGAGAUGGUGGCAUGGUAAGAUCGAUAAAAGUGUCACGGGAAGGCUUCAAUCAGAGACGAGCAAGCUGCCAGGUCCACUGAGGCCAUUAAGCUUAACAUAGAUUGACAGGCAAUAGCAUCAAUAUAAAAAAGUCCAUACAUCAAGCGGCCAAACAUCCAUUGUGACUUACAAAUUAAAACAGUUACCAUAUCUAAUCUGGAACUAAAUAAUAUUCAUUUACAUAUGUUUUCGCAUUCGAAUCUAUUAAAAUAUAAAUAAAAAUUCGAACAUCCAACUAAUAUCCGCAUCUAUAUUCAUAUCCAUCAAAAUAAAAAAAAAUAUAAUUAUAAAUAGAUAGCUAUCUGAUCUGUAUCCGAAUAAUAGAUUUUUUUUAUUUUUUAGUUUUAUAUAUCAUUCGUAACAUUUUUAAAAAAUAAAUGACUAACUAAAUUUACCUCCUAUUUGGUAAUAUUUUUAGUGAUAUAAUUAUAAAAUUUAAUUAUUCAACAAAUAUUUGAAUUUAUAUUUAUAUUUUAUAUAAACAUAUUAGUAACAAAUAUGUAUUUGAUCCGGGUUGGGCUUUAAUCCGAACCGGUCGCGCGUGUACAGUCUUGCCACAUCAGUCAUUGGCCUUUCUCGAUGUUGCACUCACUGUUUUCACUGUCCGGGACUCGUCCGUCCGGAGUCCUGACCAUCCAUGGUCAGGGCGAGCAGCGUGCACGAACUACUCGAUGAAAUGCUCAAAAGAAAUCCUGCUGCAGCCCUCCCAUGCUAAUGUCAACAGUGAUGAAUAGGAACAAACAUCAACACGAGUUGAAGAAUAGGGCAGAUUACUCAAAACAAAGUACCACCAACAACAACAACAUCACCGUCUACUGUCAAUCCCGUUCUUCUUCUUCUUCUACCACAUGUAGCCAUCGAGGCGGUUGGCCACCAUGACCUUCUUUUUGUUCUUCUUCUUCAUCUACUACUACUUCCGUCACCUCUCCUUCUUCUUUUGCUUCCCCUUGUUUGUAUGUUUUGCUUCCCAUCCAUGUAGCCAUCGAGGCGGUUGGCCGGGGCGUGGGGCCCGCCGACAUCUUCCUGGCGCGCGACCACGGCGUGGAUGAUCUCCUCAUCGUUGUCGUUUGAAACGGCCACUACUUUCUCCGGCGGAGAUGGCAAUGAUGAGGAGGGCGGCGGCGAUGAGGAUUCCUAGAGUUUUUGGAGGCGAACAGCUUAAUGGCGGGGCGGCCGUGGGUUUGGGCGUGAGGACUGAGGAGCUGCUCUUUGAGCUCUGCCAUAUAUUAAGGACUAUUAUUAAUAUCGAUGACUGUUAUUUAAUCAUUACCCCAAAUAAUAGCUCAUAGUAACAAAUAUGACAACCAUUAAUUAGCAUCUUCAUUUUUAUUUGAUUUAAUUUGCAUUUUAGAGUUCGAAAUUUUGUCUUUGCUGUUAUUGAAAAAAGUUAAUUUUUUAAAAAUUAUCCUAUAAACGCAUAUCUUUUGAGCAUUGUUUCGCACAUACCAAAAAAUUUUCUAGCCUCAUUUAUUACUGCUAAAUUCUGAAUCGAGGCCGAGAUGCGGAGCACUUUAAGGUCGGAUGAGAACGAUACGAAAAAGAACCGGUUGUCUUGGAAGCCAACCCGCAAGAAGUCUGCUCGCUAAAAAAAUUUCGACGUAGAUCCUCCAAUACUUAAGUCAAAAUAAUAGUGCAGUAGCAUGGAAGAAAAAAAUUUAUAGAAAGAAGUCUCCAAACGAGCUUACUUGAGAAUCUUUGGGCUACUCCUUUAUAUAGGAUAGAAUAUUAAUCUGUUACCAUAUUUAGCGCGACGUGCCUUAAUUGUAAAGUAAAGAUCAGUUGCACGUUAACAACGUAGAAACCGUCGAACAACACAUGGCGGCAAUUAUGCCGAUUGUGCAGUGUUGCCAUAACUAUUGGUUUUAUUAGCACGAACAGAGUGGCACUUUGGCUUUCACCGAUAUUGUUUACCUCGGUUAAUACCGAGACAAAAAAAGUUGGUUUAAGUUAAGAUCAAAAUAUCCAAUAUUUCUCUCAAUAUCACUAAUAUUGGGCCAUAAUUCUGAUUUCAAACGGUACAUGAUGCUAUUUCCCGCGGGAAAUACAAAUUUUUCUAUGACGGAUGUUGAGAGAAAUAUUUUGCCCCUCACAAUGUUUCUCCUUGUUCCUUCUGGAACUUAGAAGGUGAAACCAGGCACAAAGUGAUCAGGUUUUAGGUUCCCGAUAAUGGCAUGGUGACUGCAACCCUAAAAGUGUGUGUGGGUGUUGAGUGAUCUGGCCUUUACGGUGAGAACGUACAUACAAGUGGAAUCCAAGUCAAGAAGAAAGCUAUUAUGAUCCUCUCAAACUUCCAAUCAUACACAUUCGAAGAUUUGCUAUAUAUUGAUGAUUUUAUACUUUAAAAGCAUGUCAUUUCUAAUGUGACAUGGUUGUUUUAGACCAUGAGAUAUCCAAAGAGGAGAGCGCACAGCCUGGAAGCCGGAACAAAACCAUAGAGUCGACACUUUUUUUUUAAUUAUUCCCCGCGCUUGCGCUAGCUUCCAUCAUUAGAUCAGUUCAAGAUAUAAUAUAAAGCUGAGAAUUAAUACUUAAAAAUAGAAGGUGACGGACAGACCUGUGCUAUAAUAUCAUUAUGGCGGCCAUGGCACUGCCUGGAUUUUAAUCCUAAACGUUCUCAUUAUUUACUUCAAGCCUGCCUGGGAUUCUGGCAUUUGAUAGGGUAGUUGAAUGGUUAUUGGUGUUUGUUGAAUUUUUAUGUUUGAAUGACGAUUAUAACGUUAAUAAAAGGAUUACAAUGUGAGGCAGGCAUUGAAGUUUGAAAGGAUGAGUUCUAUACAGAGCUAGUAUAUUUGAUUCAUGGUACGUCGGGUAGGAAUACGCAUGCACUGAAAUCUGUUUAAAAGUGCCAGAUACAUCAACUUCUAAGCCAAAAACUAAUGCAUUUCAUCAAAUUGACAAUCAACUCUCUCAUUUAUUUGCUCAAUAGUAAAGCACUGGAGGCAAUAAACAUGGGGUGAUCAGGACUUCUAAUGGAGUGACCUUGGGUGGGGCAGCAUCCUCGGCCCUCCGUCAUGCCCACGGGCCACGGGUGCCUAGCUCUUGUUGGACCGUCCUUAGAACGUGGGGAUGGUUGAGCAUAAGGGCUAGGGCCCAAGGCCCAGCUAUGAUGAGAGCCUGGUCACAAAUGGAAACAAUAGCACAAUUGUUAAUCAUAAUUAAUACAUUAUUACUAGGCAAAGACUUAAUGAUUUGAUACAUUAUUUAAAUAUCUAAUCACCGAAAUCAUGCAAGCUUAUUCUUAGGUGGCUACGGCUUCAAAGACUUAAUGACGAGGAGUUGGAAGGUUUAUCUCGGGAUCCUCCUAGAUUUGCGAGUGCUUUCUAUAUGCUUUGACAAUUGGCAUCAGAAUUUCCGGAUUUUUUUUAAUUGCUGGAAAGGAUGAGAAAACGGAAAGUCAGGAAGGACUAUUGAUUUCGUGUUCUUUAUUUGCCGGCCAUGGCUUGACUUCUAUCACAUUGAAAACUCUUGUUUUUCAGUGGAGUGCAUGGACUUCAGGAGAGUAAAAAUAAAUCAUUCAUAAGUCAGACGCUGCUCCUUCUUCUUCAUCUUCGAAUUUUAUAUUUUUUUCAACUGUUAAUCCUUAAUUUGAGGCUUCAUUUAGGAGAUGAGGUCUCCGCUAAUGGGCACUCUGACCAAAGUGGAGGACCGUUGUGGCUCCAAAUAUCAAAAUUUUCCCUUUAGGCGUUCGAGCGAUGCUGUGGUACUAUUAUAACUUUGUCCUCCCACCUAGAUACCUAUCUCCAAUGGUAUAAUUCUUGCAUAUUAUGAUAUAUAUAUAAUAUUAUAAUAUAUCAUUAUACAUAUUACUGUUAUAUUAGUAUUCAAUGAUUAUUUAAAAUUACAAUAAAAAUAUAUUAUUCUACAUUAUAUUUAUAUAAUAAAAUUAUUUAAUAUAUCAUUUCUAUUUGCCUUAUUUUUAAUCAAAAUAAAUAUUCAUAUUAAAAGUACAGGUAUAAAUAAAAAUAUUAGUUCUAUAAUAAUAGUUAUUAUAUCUUCAUACUAUUAAUAAUUUAUAGGAUUAAUAAAUAUAUUUUAAUGAGAUAUAUUAGUUAUUAAUAUAUUAAUAAAUAUGUUAAUAUUUAUUAUAGUAUAUUUUAUAUGAUUUAUAAAUAUAUUUUUAUAUAAGAUAUUAGGGAUAGUUUUGGUAUUACAUGAUCAAUGAUUUUAGAUUCUCGUGUAACACUAAACAGAAUAUUUGAAAAUAUCCGGAAAUCUUUAAUCACUAGAACAUAGCAUACCAAACGCGAUAAUUUUAAAUCAUCAAGAAUAAGAUUAUCACGAGAUAAGAAUCGCCAGUAGUCUAAGAUCAUCUUAAUAUUCUCAUUUGGAUCACCAAAUGCUGCCUAAAAGGCAUCUUAAAAAUAUACAACCUAGGAAUCAAAAUGAUGCCCAAUCCUUGAAGCAACUAACUUGGUCAUUUAUGAUCAGCUCUAGUAACCAGACCCUUUCUCUUUUUUGAAAAGAAGAUAGCAUUUCUCUAUUUUUAGAAGAAAAUGGCAACCAAACCAUUUCUCUUUUUUGAAAAGAAAAUAGCUAGAUCUUAUUUAACCAACCAACCUAUGGCAACAAUCCAGGCAGAAUGGGAAUAUACACCUCUGGAUGACCGAAGAACCGAAAGAGAUGCUGGUAUAAUAUGGGGUCUCCCCCUCCAGCAGGAUCAGAAAAAGCUGUAUUAAAGUUUCGAUCGGUUAAUAACAUAGUAAUUGCCCCUGCCAGUACCGGAAGUGAUGAUAAAAGUAGGAAUGCUGUCACUU